rnacentral:rRNA from 1 species
GAUGAACGCUAGCGGCAGGCUUAACACAUGCAAGUCGAGGGGUAUUAGUUUUCGGACUAAGAGACCGGCGCACGGGUGCGUAACGCGUAUGCAAUCUACCUUUUACAGAGGGAUAGCCCAGAGAAAUUUGGAUUAAUACCUCAUAGUAUUAUGAAGUGGCAUCACUUUAUAAUUAAAGUCACAACGGUAAAAGAUGAGCAUGCGUCCCAUUAGCUAGUUGGUAAGGUAACGGCUUACCAAGGCUACGAUGGGUAGGGGUCCUGAGAGGGA